GAGGUCUUGAACUUCGUUUUCUGAGAACAUCCAGUUUUUCAACAAGAUAGGUAGGUUACAAAAUUUACCACUACCCCCACUUGCUAAACGCGUUCUGCAAUGCCGCACCGAUAGCCUGGAGUAAGAUCCCCAAGAGAACAUCGGCACGUUUAGGAGUGCAUAAACAUUGCGGAGGGCCGACACAUUAUUAAGUUUUUCUAGGCUGUUAACCAUAGAAUUUCUUCAAUUUUUUAACGAAGUACUCAUGUCAGUAAGUAUAAGAAACCUGUAUACUAAACAUUACUUAAAUAAAACCAGUUUUACGG
rnacentral:lncRNA from 1 species